rnacentral:lncRNA from 1 species
GGAUGUGGAAGCACUGACUAAACAAAAUGGCGUCCGCUUGUUCGGAAAAUUAAAAAAAAAAGUUUAAAAAAAAAGUUAAAACCGACCUACCCUACCUAAGUUUUUAUACGAAGAAACCGGAAACCCACAUAUUUUUUUUUUUUGCCUUAUAUGUGUAUGGAGGUAUCUAGUGAACUUUUCAGUACACUAUAAUAUCCAUUACAUAACGUUUACUAUAUUGGUGCGCGAAACAUGGAACGAUUACCCAUUUUUUUCUUCUCGGGAAGCAAAUUUUGUUUCCGCAACAAUGUUUCCACGGGUGGGCAAACAGGGAAACAUUUGAGGAAACAUCGAGAAUCACAAAUGUUUCCACAACAAUGUUUCCUAGUUUACCCAGGGCUUAAGUCAUUGCGAAAGUUCUGGGUAAAUAUCAUGAUUACACUCGACAUAAGUAAUAGAUGGUUCCAGCUAUUGACUAAAUUUUGAUCUCGGCAAGAAGAACAAAAUCCAUCACCACAGCUAGAAAGAGCAUGUUAAAAUUAGUAAAAUUGCAAAGUUUGGUUGCGAAAUGUUGUAAAAUGCGGAAAAGAUAGCCCUACGAAAUUUGCAAAUUUUGUAUUAAUUUGUAUUACGCAAGGGAAAAUGCACCACAUUUGGGCCGAAAGUGGUGCAUUUUCCCGCGCGUAAUACAAAUUAAUACAAAAUUUGCAAAUUUCGCAGGGCUAUAUUUUCUGCAUUUUACAACAUUUCGCGUCCAAACUUUGCAAUUUUACGAAUUAUAACAUGCUCUUUCUAGUUAUAUAAUAGUUUAUAAGAGUUUUAUACAACCAGGCCCUGGUUUACAGAAGCAGAAUCAAGUAUAUUAUACGUAAAAUUCGCGGUCAUAGGAGAGAUACAAUAUAUAACAGAAAAGGCUGAAAAAGUGAGAAAACGGCGAUUUAUAUGCAAUGGUGGUCUAAUAUUAUCACUGGUUUCAAAACUGGAAUAGACCUUUCCCCUGAUCAGUUUGGUCAUCUGAUUAUCAAUUUCCCGUUUGUAAUGCGGCAAAAUGACUGAAAAACGGCAAACUUCGCAAGGCUAUAUUAUCCGCAUUUUACAACAUUUUGCAACGAAACUUCGGAAUAUUACUAAUUUUGGUAUGCUCUUUCAAAAUGUGAUGAAAUUUUUGUCCAGACUUGUCUAGAUCAAAAUCUCACUUAAAAGGGGAAAGGUCUAUUGGAUAGAGACAUAGAGUAUCUUUUUAAAUCAUUCAAUCAGCCAAUUUUGAAGCCAGAAUAUUUGCUUAAAGGACAUUGGCAAUAAAAAUUAGUUUAGUUCAUUUGAAAGAACUCGUAAAACUAUAUAUUAAACUCUAUGACAUGCAGAUUGUUUAUAUCUUGCUCAGCUUUCAGAAUAUUUGACUGAAAAAGUGAGUUGUUCGCCAUCUUGGAUUAUUGAGGAUAUGCAUGUUACGUCAAGAGAGGGGCGACGCUAAUCUUUUAUAAAAACAUUUUAUCAUUAAAAACAUUUCAAACAAUUUUGGAUUGUUACUCUCGGUCAUUUUAGAGCAGUUUUAUAUGGCUAACCCAACUCCUGACGUCAUCAAAACCAUAGUUAAUGAGGUCAAGAAUUAGUCCAAAUAUGUUAAUGAGGUCAAGAAUUAGUCCAAAUAUUUCGAGAACUAAGUUUCAUAU